AAUGAACGCUGGCGGCAUGCCUAACACAUGCAAGUCGAACGAAGGCUUCGGCCUUAGUGGCGCACGGGUGCGUAACGCGUGGGAAUCUGCCCUCAGGUUCGGGAUAACAGCGAGAAAUUGCUGCUAAUACCGGAUGAUAUCGCGAGAUCAAAGAUUUAUCGCCUGAGGAUGAGCCCGCGUAGGAUUAGCUAGUUGGUGUGGUAAAGGCGCACCAAGGCGACGAUCCUUAGCUGGUCUGAGAGGAUGAUCAGCCACACUGGGACUGAGACACGGCCCAGACUCCUACGGGAGGCAGCAGUGGGGAAUAUUGGACAAUGGGCGAAAGCCUGAUCCAGCAAUGCCGCGUGAGUGAUGAAGGCCUAGGGUUGUAAAGCUCUUUUACCCGGGAUGAUAAUGACAGUACCGGGAGAAUAAGCUCCGGCUAACUCCGUGCCAGCAGCCGCAGUAA
rnacentral:rRNA from 1 species